rnacentral:lncRNA from 1 species
UUCACGAGGUGCGUAGCAUUCUUUAUAGCCGUUACGAAAGCUCCCGAAGAGAAAGAGGUCUUUGCUGCUUGACUGCGUGAACCAGGUCCAGGUCUUGCUUUUGGCAUUCCCGCUGUUGACGUCCCAUCGAGUUAGCUAGUUAAGGGUGAAAGGGAUUUAGGAAUGAAUAGCAGGCAAAGUCCUUGCUAGGAAUUCCGGGUAACUUUCUGUAUUCCUUAAGGUUACAGGUGAAGCUUACUUCCUGCGGUAGCCCCUUGGACCUUAGCCUCUUAAGGGUUGGGUUCUAGUGGCGGGCUCUUGGGUCGUCCGGACCCAUAUCUGGUAAAAGUGGUGGCCUGGUUGUCCCCACACCCCCUUAUCAUGCGUGUCUGUGGGAGCAGUUUGUGCUAGCGUUUUGGCGCUCGCCUUAUGGUUCUCAGUCCUCUUUCGCCGAGAUGCCUUUUAAAAAGAUUUUUUCCCGCAUCGGAACAAGACCCACUAUACUAGAUUUAGCCAAUUCGGGUGCGGAUGGGGAUUCCCCAAUAGAUUCUACAGAUUCGGAUUUGGAUGCCCCUGCGCAUAAACAUAUGGAUAGGGAUGCCGAUUCAGAUGCGGCUAGAAAGGCUCGUUUGAGUGAUUCAUAAACCCUCGUCGGGAUAAACAAGCAAGGGUUUCAUCCUCUACUUAUGGGAAUGCUACUUCGAGAAAUGCUGCUUCAGGAUAAACUAGAUAUGUUGCGAGAGAAACUGGAUAUUUUCCUAUGGCUUGGACCCUUUCACUCGAGAACUCAAAGGGGGGAAAGAAUUCUUCAACAUAGUCACAAGAAGGUGGUCUACGACCAUUAGAUCCCUAGAAAGAGGAGCAACUAAGAAGAGAGGGGUAUAAAAGAAGGAAAGGAAUGUCUUCGAUCUGGCUCUUGUUCCCUGUAGGUUUAUAGCACGCUAGGCUAGCUAAGAAAGGUAUUCUAUCUUUCUCUUUUUGUUGUUCGGCUCGAUAGAAUUGUUUAGAAUCCUCUCCUAGCUUCCUCUUUCCAUAGAUAUGAAGACUAUAAAACGUCGAUCAGAGAGCAGGGUUGUUCUAAGAUAUAGAAGUAGUUAAGGGCUUGACUAAGUAGUAGAUAUGGGAUUGAGGGGCGCAGGAGUAGGGUUGUACUCUAGAGGUAAUGCUAUACUCCAUUCUUCCUCCCGGCUUCCUUUCUAUUCUCACUCUCAUCCAACUGAUGAAUGCAAUUGGAGUAGAAUCGCUUUCCCUUACUAGGUUUAGGAAUCCGUAAUUCUUCAAGAAGACGAGAUUACCCCGGAUCAAAAGAAAGCUUCUUAUCGAGAGACAGAUUACAGCAAAAAUGACUCAUGAGGAUAGCUGGAAGCAAGGAACAUUCUUUUGUGGCUUACCCGUUCUAUAAGAGAACGGUUCAACUGGUUAGGCGGUCUGGCGCAUUAUUCACUGCGCUUUAUUUAAAGCAGUGUGCGUCAUCCGGGGUGAUAAAAAAGAACCAUACCCUGUUGACAGUGUCCCUGUCCCUUAAUCAUCAGGCUACCCUCGGAUUCUUCCCUCCAGAUAUUAAUGAGGUGGGCGGGAAGGAUAGAGCCCAACUUAUUAUAUACGGAUACGGAUAUUCCUUGUCAUUCUAAUCUUGAUAUAGUUCCAACAGGCCUAUUCUUUGACUCUCCUAUAGUGUAUAGUAUAUUCUUUCCAUCUUCCUACUAGGAUAGAUAUUCUAACAACAAACUACCUAGCUUAGCUAGUUGGCAGCUCCGCAUCGUGAACUGCAUCGGAAAGGGCAUCCGAUCUCUCUUUUAUGGGCUCUUUCCCUCGUAUCUGACCUAUCCGAGUUAGCCCUCCCAAGCGGACAAAGAGGUGGAUCAUCUGAUCUUGAAAUAGGUCAUCCCGGCUAUCCCGAUCUUUUAUCUGUUCAUUUCGUCAGGUAUCUGAAUCAUACGAUUCUGAGGAUUCUGCUUUUCACAUUCAUUCUACAGGACCAAAACGAGGCCUUUCCUCGCUAGUUGGAAUAAAAACCUCAACAGCAGCCUUCAUUGAACCCCUUCUUCCUAUCCUUGCUACCUAUGAAACGAGUCCCUCUUUCAUUCACUAAAGAAGACGCAGCUGAUAGAUGGAUGAAUAUACAUUUGAUGGCCAGUUCUAUGAAUCAAAAUCUCGAGUUGGAGGCAUCGCUGGGAAAAAAGCCAAUUGAUUCGGUUUUCUCGAAAUCAACGAGUGGACUUGAAAUCAUAGAUCCAUUUUGUGAUCCACGCGACUCAGACAAGAAUCCUAUAUCUUACCCACCCAGUGCUGUUCUGAUUGAAUUUCAAAGAUCUCGCUCGCUGUCAAAGCGCAUUUUGUGAAGUGUUCUCCUGCCCCUGUCACCUGAGAUAAAGUCAACUGGAAACCGUGAUCGGAGUCGUGGUUUGAAGAUGAUGAUUUGAAGAUUCAUUCGACAGAGAAGGGUGUCUUGGUUGCCGAUACCGAGGUUGAAUGAAUCAUUCCACCUGGCAACAGCAAAAGUGGAGUUUGGCACAGGUCAAAGGGGAAAGCAAGGAGGAAUUCCACUUUGGAAAGGAAAAGGGCAGUUCCAAACGAAGGACCCUGGGGCAAGCUUCCCGGUGUCCAAGUGUCAAGUCCCGAGGGCUUGUGUCCGCCGAAAGCUUCCUUUUUUCUUUUUAGUCUUUCCUUGCAAUGAACCGAAAGGUGAGAGGCAGGGCUCGGUCUCAAGGUUGAAUUUAAAGUCACUAGUCAGUCCAACUGCACGAGUGAAGGGCGAAAGUCAAGAUUACGUGCAACCAGGUGUAACGUGUCAAAGGUCACCGAGUCGUCGUAAAGGGGAAUAGGUUGUUUUGCGCAUCCAACAACUGAAAGAGCUUGCGGAGAAGGGUUGAGUUGCGUAAUAGCAGAUUCGUAGGUCAAUAAAUCGUUGGAUUUGAAAUCGAACUCUCUACCUUGGGCGGAUAGGAAUUGAGACUUUCAAUGGUCCGCUCUUCUCUCCUCGUGAUCGAAGCUGACCCCAGAAGUUGGGUAUUCCUUCUUAAGAGGACACUAACCCUCCCGAUCUUGCUAGCCGGGGGCUCAGUCUUUCAAGAUUCAAUCUUUCCCCUUCCGGUCCCAGGGAAUCGCUCUUAUAGUAGGAGGUUUACUAUGUCCCCAACUUCUCUUUAUUAAGAAAGUAGGUUGUCUACUAUAAUUAGAUGUUGAUCGUAAAAACAGAAGCUUGUAAUAUAGCUAGACCAAAUUCAAUAAAUGGAGUCCGGUAAUAACAUUAUGAAACUGAACCCAUAUGGCAGAAAGCAGAAGCGGCGGGUACGUCUGUUCGGGUUCAUUCAUGUCCAAUAAACUUCAAACAAAAGGAGAUUCGGGUAUCAGAGUUGAGCGGACAGGCGACGAGAGGAUGGGGGGAAGAGUAAAGACAAGACGAAAGCAAGAGUUCCGGCAUCUUACUUUACUAGUUUCAUUUCCGUAUGAUAGUCACCCCUUUCUCACUGCUCCCUUUCUCGGUAAAGCAGAGUGAGCAGCUUCUUUCUUUGCUACUGCUGCCAUACCACAAAGAAGUCCAAUAGCUGCGCUUACUUCUUCCUUCAACCCUGAAAAGAGCAUAUGCAUCCCGGGAUUCUCUCCAUCUCAGAAGUGGAUUCCCCUGCAAGGGUACUUGAGUACGACUACGGCUAUGAAAAGCUUAUCGAAAGAGGAGGAAAGAGCGUAAACUCGACUCUAAAAGUUUCAGUUGCCUCCCUCUCUCCGCCCUAUAACUGAAAAAAAGGAGCACGGCGAAAAGCCAACCUUCUUUUUUUUGAUUCGUUUGACGAGGGAAGACCUUAAGUACUGAAUUAAUGAAAUUACACCUAUAUCGCGAAAAAGAGCUGCUCUAGCUUUAGCGCGCACCCUUUCUCCUAUGAGGAAAGUUACUCUUUCCGAUUCAUGUCUGGCCCUUCCUGGGUCUGGAUCACAGUAUACCGGCGACUUUGUCCUUGAAUUCAUUCUAUUUCAUAUCCACCGAUCCGUGGAAGAGACCAAGGAAGAGUAAGAUAGAUUUAGGGCCGGCAGGCGGGUCUAGAAUAGAUUCCCCAACGGGUCCUGACUUUUCAACAACAGAGGCGAAAACUUACUCUUUCAAGUCAAAGUCAAAGUCGGGUAGACUAAGAUGGAGUUUAUUUUACAGUUGUUCCAGGGAUAUGGGUAUAGAGUGAAUUCUAUUCACUCUUUAUGAAGUGGAGUGCACUCCUUAUAUCAUAAAUAUAAAAGUCAGUAUGGUGCCCCGGUAGACGCGCAGACCGAGUGAGUUUCCGCCGAUCCAGAUGUGCCAAAGAUUGAGGACUAUGAGGGUACGGUGCUAUCCUUGUACUUUGUUUGUUGCACAUGGCCUAAUGUACACUUGCCCCCUUUUUCUCACUCUUUUGGUGGUUUGUCAAUUUGAAUCUAUUUUCUUUAUGCUACCGAAAGACGGAAAGGGGAACCGACUCGUUCCUUCCUUGCGGAGGACGAAUCAAGGCCUGAAGUUGGUUCGUCGAGCAAGAGGAGAGAAGGAUCAACAAGGAUUUCAUACCCUAUGCUAGUUCUUUUUCUCUCUCCCCCAGAUAUGCCUUUAAUAAGUCCUCCACCUAUUCUCGUGUGACGACAUCUAUGAUUGUGAAAUUAAGGAAUGAACAGUUGCAACAAUCAUGUUCAAUUUCUUUUGACAGUUUUAGAUUGUGGUGCUUUGUAAUCAAGGGCGAGAAGGAAGUUCAUUGACAGACCGAAGACAAGCCGAUUUGACCGUUCGACAGCUACCGUUGGAGAGCUUUCAACCGGUUUUGUACCUAUACUCCAUUCCUAGCUGAAAGAACCUAUUCGAUAACAGGGUCCAAUAUCCGAUUUGAGGAGAGAGUGGUACCGUACUGGCUUGAAAGCGGCUUUCCUCACUCCCUGGCUGACUACAGGCAUGACUACAGAAGAGAUGGAAUUCCUACCAGACCAGAGAGAGGUGAUUCUCUAACAAAGGAAAGAAAGGAAUGACUAUUUAUAUCAAGAGACAGGCUUGCUAACCUUCGGCCAUAGUGACUAGUGACAAGAGGAGUUGCUUAAGGACCUACGAAGAAAGUGACCGAAGCGGAGUCAAUUCAUAUUAAAACAAGAGGAGAGAAUUCAAUGUUAAUCGCCAUCUCCUUGGCACACGUGACGGAUCAUACUUUCUUGCCUUAGACCACUAUCGAGGCUAUGCGUUUUCAUAGGGCAGAUGAUCCUUACCCGUGAAGGUAGUUUACUUGCUUACUUGUUAAAGUAAGGCAGAAAGAGUACCUGUUGUUAACAAAACGGAGUCUCAAAAGCUCAUUUAUCGCAGUGGUCUCAAAAACCCAAUUAUCGUAUUUAAGAAAAAGAGGUCUAUAAAAGUCACUUAAGAAAGAUGGCGCCUUUGCGAGGAUGUCUUGAAUCAGCCAAUGCCAAGGCAACAAGGCUAGCAUCAAACCUACCUGCCGAGAACCCUCCAACAUUCCUACCAAGGUUCCCAUCCCCGAUGACAGAAGAAGGACGUAACCGGUGUUAAGGUUAGAAGGGUAACUGCUCUCGUAGUCGUAGCCGCUCUUGGGACUGAUUCCUUAAGGAAAUGGAAUUCUUCCAAAAUUCCCAUGGAAGGUGUAGAUGUUUAGGCUUGCCCCUGCUGCUGCUAGAGAAUAGGUCGUCACUUUCUUUGCGGUUGAUGCGGUUAAAUCAACUAGUAGAAGGAAGGUGGCACAGUUCAUCAACUGAAUCCGCGCUUAGAAAGAAUAACUUUGAAGCCACGUUUAGAAUGGUCAGCACCUUUUGAGAAGAAUUGCUCUUUGGAGAGCUAAAUAUAAGGGCGAUGAAAGUUGUAAGCUGUAGAAAGGAGAUUUUUCAUGUUCAUAGACACUUUGAAACUCAUUGUGGAAAUUCACUCUUUUAUUCUGAGUGCGCAGAAUGGUGCUUUGCGGCUACUAUGGGUCUUCAAAAGGAACCGGGAACGGGGCAAAGACAUCCUAAGAAGUUUGCCUAUGGACUCUACCUCAGCGACCUUCUUCCGUACUUUCACGAGAAAGCAAGCUAUCGACCUUAUCUCCGUUAGUUUUUCAAGAUCAGUGAACCCAGAUGUCAACAUCUCUAUGGGGCCUACUCUAGUCUUUUAUCUGCGGAGAGAUGGUCGUUUACAUGCUUACUUACUAAAGUACGGGAAAGAAAUAGCUUACAAGAACAAGUAAGAGAGUUGACUUGCUUACUUUAACAAGUAAGGGAACUGAGGUUGCUUACUAAAGUAAGGGAUUGUUGACCCUUUCCAUCUUGUUUGUACCCACGGGGCACAUUGAACACCAACUCAACUAAAAAGAGAAAAAAGGGUACUCACUCGUCGGUAAGGGAAAGGCUAGGCUUUUCUUACGCUAAUUCUUCUCUUAUUAUAUUUACUAGAUUGACUAUUGCACUGAGCCCUAUUCUAUCUCGGGUAACCUGAUUACGGCUUUUCCGACUAGGCGCCCUACCUAAGCCUUACUUCCCGUCCGACUAGCAUGGUGUCAUAUCACUCUUGAAAGAACACGAGAUCUCGGUCAAUCAGAGCAAUUUCCUGGGGAAAGGGGCAGAACCAUCCCCACCUUAUCAAGACAAUUUGGUACCUGUUUUCAAACCCAUCUUUCGUUGAAAAAUCAAACCAUUCAGCUAGGGCCGGAUAGUAGUCUGAAACCGACUUCGGCUUGGGCCGUGUUCUCUAAAACCCGAUUAAUUAACUGGGCCAGAUUCCCCUGCAACAUACCCUUUCUCAGAACAAGAUUCCGAUUCUGAUUUUGAUUCCUCUUCUUCCCCCGUCCACCGGAACUGGGUUUGUUUGGCAACAACCAAGCGCUAACGUCUGAAAAGGACGAAGAACGGACUCGCUCAACCACCGGAAGAAGGAAAUAGAGGGAGAACAGCAUUGAUUGAGAGGGAGGACAACCCUUUCUUGAUUAGCUAGGAAUAGACAUCGAGAUUCACCUACGAAAGAAAGAUUCUUAAGCGCUAACGUAACUCCCCGGGUAUAGAAGAGAGGUUUGGUUGCUCACUAAAAGUACAGGCCGGGUCCAAACCAAAUUGUGAAAGACCCCUUUUCCCUUAUGUCACUCGGGAAUGGGGAAACUUAUGUGAAACUUUCCCUCCCCACACCUUAAAUAAUCAUAUACCGAGAUCUCGUAUUCGAUCAAUAAAGAACGAGGACUAGCUCACCAGUAAAGGAGAGGGGCGGACUAACUUGACCGGUAGAAGGUGAGAAUAGUCAAUGAAUCGGAAGAGGAAUGUUGAUCGCCUUAGUUUAUGGUUCCGUUCCCCUGUUCAUUAAUAGGGGCUCCCGAAUCCGACUUAUUUGAGGAACAAAGUAGCUCGACCAACGAGAGAGGAACAACUGGCUAAUUUCACACUUACCUAUGAGCUAUGAGAAAAGAGGUUUCUGGAACAGGUAGUGGGUACCGGCUCGCCGAAGACUCAUUCUUUCCUCGGGGAUGACUUCUUGCUGACCUAAGCUCAAAGAGGUGAGAACUCUCAAUCGAAUGUGAUCGACACGACAGUCCCAUCCUUCUGCUUUCCUUUGUAUGAAAUGAGGGCCCCCCUAUCACUUAAAGGCAGCCUCCUAACCCGCGGAACCUGCUUGCCCGUUGGUUAGCUGCAUCUGUUCUUUGAACAUGGAUGGCGGUACCGAUUCUAAGUCGUUCUUGUGCUCUAAAAGACUUGCCUCAUAAGAGAAAAAAAUGACCUGCGGGAACUCACUCUCCUGCGCUAGUUAAUCAGAUGCCAUCCGAGUCGCCACCAAUCAUGAAUCAUGAUGGGGAGAUUGGUCAUCUUCUAGCUUACUCUGCUAGAACUACUAUAACUUCCACGGCUGCUACUAAGCUAAUAAGAUCGAGGGGCCGUAGGCGGUGAUUCAAAAAUGUUCAUUUUAUUUGAUAAGUAAUCAAGGAGCUAAUAGUAUAUAGCACUCAGAUGAGGCUUAGUGAAAAACUAAACUGAUUCAAGUUAGCCCAACCAAAGGACUAAUCCAGCUACAAAUGAAAGAGUAAAGCGCAUUAUCUUCAUUCCACUUCCAAUUAAAUGUGUUACGCACAGUGACAUUUGCCAAUCCUGUUCCUGUUAGGAAUCAAUUUGAUAAAAAAUAUACAGCCACGAGCUCUCUCUCUUUCUUAUCCCGUCUCUUAAGGAAAAGCGCCUCGAGGAUAUCAAUCAUAAUUCUAAUUAAUAUAGUAGACAAAACCAACGAUUAGCCCUGUCUCUUGCUGUUCUUCCAUUCCCGACACCAAGCCAAGUCCGUGCUCUUUUUUAGUAGUCUUUGUAAAUAUCCUUUGGGAUUUUUACCCUAUCUCCACUUUCCUAACCCUCGGAGAAUUCUAUCCUUAGUCUAAUGAAAACACAUUAGGAAAAUGGUAAUUUUAGAUCCCUUGUUCCCUUAGGAUUAGGAAACCUAUAUCCAUGACGAAACUUUCCUCUUCCACCGCUUGUCCCUCAUCACGCAGGAUGAACAUCUGAACUUCUCGACCAGGCUCCAACAAACCUUUACCGCGACCAUGACGAACACCUGGGGGCAAGAGAACAUUCUUAGAAUACAGAUAGGCAGAAGACAUUACGCUAGCCAUAAACGCUUUCCUUCAAUGACCGAUGAACAGACGAACCAAGCGAGCUCAAUGCAAAGAACUCGAGUGAGGGGAUCUGGUUACUUUGUAUAAUAUGUCUUACGAGUAGGCAAUGCUAAUGGAAGACGGAAGUCAGACAAGGCGAUGACUAUUGACAUAGCCUAUAGAUUUGGUAAUUCAUAUUGUGAAAGUACUUAACUUCAGAUUCAAUAAAGAUCUGGAAUAAGACACGAAAGGGCAAUGCGGAAUAGCUAGUCUAGAGCUAGAGAAAGAUUUUGACUUUAUCAAUUAAUAUCCUACAGCUUGCAUUCGUCUUGCACAACCGCCCCAGGAAAGUAAUUAUCAUUAAGAGGGAGAACUUUGAUAUCUAACUACGACAGCUAUGGGGCACGAAGGGUUUAAGAAUAAGAACAAGUGACGGAGAAGUCGUUUACUGAUUAGCUGCUUGAACGUGGAAAGAUGUCGGCAUAUCUGCUCUUAGGUGAGUAUCCGCUCUUGCUGGUGUUGUUGGAAUAAGCGCUGCUAUUGAAGACGGUCUUAGAGAAGGAGCUGCUAAAGCAACUGCCAAAUAACUUUCCUGUUGAUGCUACAACACCGCUCUUGCCGCGAAAAAAGCGUCUUAGCUUGCUUUUCUUUCAGAACAAAUAGCUUGUUUUCAGGACAAAUGAAAGAAGAGGUUGUAGAUAGUCGUUACUUGGCUUACUUUACUGGGGAUUGCAUACCUGUCACUCGCUUUGCCUCACUGUGCUUUGAAUAGCCCUACUUUCGAACCUCUCCUGGGGGCAAUGAUAAAUCACCUAAGACCGCUAAUGUUCCAUCUAAUUCAAGAACAAGCCCUUCUCAAUGUCUUGCCUUUCGCAUGUGUUUUCUUUGAAAUUGGAAUUCCAACCAAGUUCCCUUCCCAAAGCGGGAACAAGUUGGUGCGACCGAUUAAAGAAGAAGGACAACUCGCAAUGGUACUAUGGCUAGUUGGAAAGCCUUUCAAGCCAAUCUCUUGAUUCACAUGAAUGUGAAACCGUUGCAACCGAUCCUGCAUACCCAUCAUCCGCCGCUUAAAGUAAUGGCCAAGGUUUCUAUGGAUUCAGCCCUGUGGAAAAAUAGUGUUGUGGGCAAUUCAGUGUGUAGUGUCACCCCUGGGACACUAGCGAGUCCGUCCCUAAAAAUUAGGUCCAUGAAGCCAGAGUGCUGUCGCACUAAACGACUACCGUUCCUUAGAUACUCCAAGCCACAAUCUGUAUUGUCCUUGAACCUAGACCAUGGAAGGUUGGUUAUAGUCCCAUUCUAUUAGUGGGAUCCAUAGCCCGCGGGUCUUUCCCAAGCCAGCAAAGAAGAAGGUAGUCUAGGACUACCCUAAGCCUAGAAGAGAAGUAGGCAGGACUUUCAGUUACAAUGUCUAGGUUGGGCAAGCCGCCUUUCGCCUUUCUAAAGCCAAUCGAUUAUCGGAUUUCACCAAGCCAACUACCACUACCUGGGGAUUUCUAGAUCCGCUCUAAGUAUAGCAUUAAGAUUCCAAACUCCAUGAAAGCAGGAGAUUGAUUAGCUAUAGUCAAAUCUCGUGACGGUGAUCAAAGAGCAUUGGCUACGAUACUACAACCUCUGCUCCUGACCCCCAGAUCGAAACGUUACGAUUAACUCCGGUGCUGCUUGCUGGUGGAGGUUGGGAGUAUCUCAACUAUGAAUAAGAAGUCGAAGAAGCCCUAGAUCCGCCUCUUACUUACCUACCUUCCCAGACUAGCUAGUCAGGGCGAAGCAUUCUUAGCAUUAGUAGUUUUGGCACGAUAGACUCAUGAGAUGUGACCUCAUGAUGGGUCGGUGGGAAUGGCUCGUGAUCGUGCAUUCAAUCAAUUUCCCUUGGAAACGAUGGUCAAGGUUUGCCGUAAAUAAACAGAUGAGUUCGAUUCAAGCAUCCGAACAAGAAUACGGUUCAGAUACCCCAAACAAGAAGCCACUUAGGAUUUUUUUCUUUUUCUAUCCCGGAGGGCGGGUCUCGUGACAACGCCUUCCUCUGCGGUCUCUAUUCGUAGGAAUAGAAUCGUCCAAGUAAUUGCGUCUAUCACUGAAGGCAGCCAAGAGUCACUCAGGGCUAUUGUACUUGUACUACUCAGCUGUUAUAGUCCAUUAGAGUGUUUGAAAUCCCUGAAUCCUGACUCUGUACGGAGCAGUAGGCUUGAGUUAUAGUCCGUAUCCCGUACUACUUGUCUGGAGUAGGAAAGAGUGUGAUCUCAGUUUCCUAGCAAGUCAAAGGGAGACCACGAGGGUCUUCCUUAUGGUUCGCUAUAGUCCAUUAAUAAUUAAUAGGUCUAAUAAUCCUUCUUGUCCGGUAAGCAAAAGCAAGCAAGGGAGCCUCUGGCUUCGUCCGUUCGUCUCGCCACAACACAAGCUGUGGUAUAAUCUGUCUAUACCUCACUCGGUUCAGUAAGAUAAAGAUAUGGUUUGAUGUGUGAGGCCUCGCUUCACUAACAAAAGUCGCUUCCUCGUGAACUCCGUUAACUAGGCGCCCCUCUCCAAGUAGUCAGUCUGUUCUCUCGUGGAGAAAGCCUUACUCUCGUUUCGUUCGAACGUAGCCCGCAGGAGUCAAGGGGUUGUAGGGGCGACUUCCAGAGAUAAUUACGGCGAGGGGAGAUGAAGAGCAUUCUUCCUUCGCGAAUACCGACUUCACCAACCCCCAACCCGGCUAAAUGGUUUGACGCCUGCAUUUAAACUAACUCACCCUAUGCUAGUAUGCUAGUGUGCGGCUGAGAAAGUAUAUAAAGUAUAUAGAGGGCAAAGGUUUUCAAAAAGCCAUUCUCGGUGACGACAUUGUUAUCGCCGACGAAAAGGUUGCAAACGUGUAUACGGCCCCCUGAUAGGACUGCGACCUAACUAUGACCUAACUAUAUCGGUUGAAAAGUAGCUAGUCUCUGACAAAGGUGCUCUUGAGUUCGCUAAGCCAUUUAUAUGCGAUGAAGGUGGAACGGAUUUCUCUCCAAUCUCCUUUCGCCCGUUCACUCAGUACUCAGUAGCAGCUCCCGUAUUCGCGAUUCGCGAGGGUUGAAAAUGGAUUUCAGACAAUAUGAACAACAAUAACUCGACAUUCUCAAGUUCACCAAUUGAGCAAGUCCGGCAUAUCGUCGCAAAGUAGUACACUCAAGUGGACUCCACCUAAUGGACGGAUACAGAGAUAGUAUCCAGAAAGAUCUUGGGAUUACAUUCGUCAAACCAAAUAUCUUUAGCAGUCGCAAAAGAAGUGACGGGGCUCAAAGGAAGUAAACAAGUCAUCCUUUGAAGCUAAGCACUUUUCAUCUUUUGUAGGAAAAUCCCCUUCUCUAGUCUUGGGAAAUUGAGCGACGCAUCCACAUAAGCACAAGAAUUUUGUUCUUUUGAACAAGCCUUCUAAAUCCAAAUUUUUUGUCCUUUUAUUUGAGUUCAUAAUAAUAAUAACUGGCGGGUUUCAUUAAUGAAAAGAAAAGCGGAGGCCCGCCAUCUGCUAGCAUUGUGGUUUUCCAUCGAUUCUUUAUCAAUGGCCCACCCUUUCUUUGAACCUUGUCAAUGAUCGAACUUAAAGAUAUGAACUGAGUGCCAUUUGAUGAGUAACUGAGAACAAAGGAGAGGGAUAUGGAAAGAAUGAAGUAAUGAAAGAGGAAGUCAUUGCUAGUAGUAACGACUUGUCACGAUCCAUUGGUUCAUAUAGAAUCCAUGUCCUAGGUGUAUCAAAAAACAUUCUUUUCGCUAAGCGUAUAUAAUAAAAUAGAGUGAAAAGGUCCACCCCGAAACCAAGGGGGUACUAACUAACAGCUGAGUCCUCUCCGAACCGCAGGAGAUAGUUGCCCAUCAUACGGCUCACCAACUUCACUUGCCUCUAUGGGAGGCUCGCUCCGGGCAGGUUCGGAUCACUUACAAUACACGGGCUCUACGAAGGAAGGGGUUGGGUUAGGAGCGUUUUCAAUAUGAUUCUUUUCCUGUAUUUGUUCGAUGAGAAAUGCGAGUCUCUUUUGUCCACUUUCUUCAUCCCCCUCUAUCAAAAUGAUCAAAAAGGAAGGCGAGCUUGCUUCUUAUUCCCGUGUUUGAUCUCUUCCAUCUCUGCCUGGCUCGUUGUCACCUAUGUUGAAGAAAGGUUUGGAACCCUGUAGAGAAUGAAGAGGGGCCAAGGAUCUUCCUCUCAACAGUGCUUUUCGAGGCUCCACUCUCCCCCCUGAAUAAGUAAGGCCCCGUUAAGCCUGGGCGAAGAUGGGGAUAAAGAGUAAGGAUUGAAGCCCCCUUAGCUCUGCCAGGCACUGGACAGGGGUUAGCUCUGUAAAUGUGUAGAGCCAAGUGUAGUGUGGUGUAGUAGUAGGCACUUCUAGGCCCCUUCCCGGCUACUGGAUCACUCCAGUGCUUCGGGUACUACGGACCCUCUGCCAUCCAUUGCAGCAGAGCCGUUUCAUGGGCGGGGGGGCUAAGCGCAGUUCUUUGAAUCAAAGGUUGAAUGAAAUCGAUUCUUUUUUAGAUAACAAAAUCGAAAUCGGAUAGGAUAGAUGGAUGGAUCUAUCUUUCUAUUCAUAUAUAUUACU